rnacentral:lncRNA from 1 species
AUCUUUACUAAUUAUUAUACUACCAUUAUCUUUUAGUAAGAAACUUAGUCCUAAGAUUAAAUCUGUAUUUAAAGAUAAUUCUCUUACCCAUACUGAGUCUUUUGGUAAACUAUAUUCUGUACUUCUUCCACAAUUAGUCUCAAAACUAAUUCUUGCUGGUUUAAGAAUAUCUUGAUAACUAUAAAAAUUCUCAUCCAUUUGUUGGGCUUC